rnacentral:lncRNA from 1 species
AAUCUCCACGCCAUUAACGGUGUAUACAUGUGUGAAACUGGGUCAGAGAAAACAUGUAGUUAUUGCGCUGAAUAUACGCGGAUAUUUAAAGUACAUGGCGGAUUUAUUGGUUGUUAUGGACAACCUCCAGCAGUAUGAGAUAUAAAGGUUCACUGCAGUUUUGACAAUGCUCAACAAGUACUGUACACAUACUAUGCUCAGCAAGUGGAGUUGCUGUGAGUUCUCAUGCAGUGUAUGAAAAGUACAGUACUGCUGUUGGAAGAGGAGCAUCAUGGCUAUGGAUAAAAAAAGGUUUCAUUACAUAUGGACAAUUAUAUUGGACAAAAUAAGAAAAGUGUUCUAAUAAGUUCUGGAAUGUGGCUUGUUAUGAUGGGUCUACAUGAUUGACUUGGAGUACAACCUGAUGGAGGCCUGGCUUGCAGAAUUCAGUCCUGAACAUGUUUAGGUAUAUUUGGCUUGUCACCUCUUUAAG